UGGGUAACCUGCCUCAAAGAGGGGAAUAGCCUCCCGAAAGGGAGAUUAAUACCGCAUAAUAUGUUUAGGUCGCAUGACUUUAACAUCAAAGGAUUUUCUUUUAGAAAUUCCACUUUGAGAUGGACCCGCGGCGCAUUAGCUAGUUGGUGAGGUAACGGCUCACCAAGGCAACGAUGCGUAGCCGACCUGAGAGGGUGAUCGGCCACAUUGGAACUGAGACACGGUCCAGACUCCGUAGGAG
rnacentral:rRNA from 1 species